CCUACGGGAGGCAGCAGUGAGGAAUAUUGGACAAUGGGCGCGAGCCUGAACCAGCCAAGUAGCGUGAAGGAUGACUGCCCUACGGGUUGUAAACUUCUUUUAUAAAGGAAUAAAGUGAGGCACGUGUGCCUUUUUGUAUGUACUUUAUGAAUAAGGAUCGGCUAACUCCGUGCCAUCAGCCGCGGUAAUACGGAGGAUCCGAGCGUUAUCCGGAUUUAUUGGGUUUAAAGGGAGCGUAGAUGGGUUGUUAAGUCAGUUGUGAAAGUUUGCGGCUCAACCGUAAAAUUGCAAUUGAUACUGGCAGUCUUGAGUACAGUUGAGGUAGGCGGAAUUCGUGGUGUAGCGGUGAAAUGCUUAGAUAUCACGAAGAACUCCGAUUGCGAAGGCAGCUUACUAAACUGCCACUGACAUUGAUGCUCGAAAGUGUGGGUAUCAAACAGGAUUAGAUACCCCUGUAGUC
rnacentral:rRNA from 1 species